GCCGAGCUCAGUUGUGUUGGCUUGUGACCCAAGUGGGGGCAACAAUGUGGUGGAACAUGAGUUCAGAUCUUGCGGGCCGGACUCGUUGUGACAAUAUUUUGGCCCACCCAUUCCAAGCCGAGAGUUGUUCCAUGCGGUUCGAGCGAAGGCUUGGGCCUUGCGGGUCCUAGAGUGGAGGUGUUUGCGUGAGGCUGGCUUCACAGAGCAGCGAAAACCUCCCGUUCCCGACAGUGGGAGGAUAAUGGGCCGGUGCCACUCGGGCCCAUCAUGACCCAAUGGGCUGAGUCUACCGAACCACCACUUUU
rfam:Eucalyptus grandis cultivar BRASTZ1 unplaced genomic scaffold scaffold_6, whole genome shotgun sequence.